rnacentral:rRNA from 1 species
CCUACGGGUGGCAGCAGUGGGGAAUAUUGGGCAAUGGGCGAAAGCCUGACCCAGCAACGCCGCGUGAAGGAAGAAGGCUUUCGGGUUGUAAACUUCUUUUGACAGGGAAGAGCAGAAGACGGUACCUGUCGAAUAAGCAACGGCGAACUACGUGCCAGCAGCCGCGGUAAUACGUAGGUGGCAAGCGUUGUCCGGAUUUACUGGGUGGAAAGGGCGUGUAGGCGGGCUGACCAGUCAGAUGUGAAAUCCGGGGGCUCAACCCCCGAACUGCAUUUGAAACUGUUGGUCUUGAGUAUCGGAGAGGCAGGCGGAAUUCCUGGUGUAGCGGUGAAAUGCGUAGAUAGUAGGAGGAACACCAGUGGCGAAGGCGGCCUGCUGGACGACAACUGACGGUGAGGCGCGAAAGCGUGGGGAGCGAACAGGAUUAGAUACCCUUGUAGUC